UACGAAGGGGGCUAGCGUUGCUCGGAAUUACUGGGCGUAAAGGGCGCGUAGGCGGAUAUCUAAGUUGGGGGUGAAAUCCCGGGGCUCAACCUCGGAAUUGCCUUCAAAACUGGGUAUCUUGAGUUCGGGAGAGGUGAGUGGAACUCCGAGUGUAGAGGUGAAAUUCGUAGAUAUUCGGAAGAACACCAGUGGCGAAGGCGACUCACUGGCCCGAUACUGACGCUGAGGAGCGAAAGCGUGGGGAGCGAACAGG
rnacentral:rRNA from 1 species